rnacentral:rRNA from 1 species
UACGGAGGGUGCGAGCGUUGUUCGGAAUCACUGGGCGUAAAGCGCGUGUAGGCGGCCCACUAAGUCUGAUGUGAAAGCCCGGGGCUCAACCCCGGAAGUGCAUUGGAAACUGGUGGACUCGAGUCCCGGAGAGGAGAGUGGAAUUCCUGGUGUAGCGGUGAAAUGCGUAGAUAUCAGGAGGAACACCGGUGGCGAAGGCGGCUCUCUGGACGGUGACUGACGCUGAGGCACGAAGGUCAGGGGAGCAAACGGG